rnacentral:rRNA from 1 species
UAGGGAAUAUUGGACAAUGGGGGCAACCCUGAUCCAGCCAUGCCGCGUGAGUGAAGAAGGCCCUCGGGUUGUAAAGCUCUUUUGUCCGGAAAGAAAAGCAUUCGGUGAAUACCCGGAUGUUCUGACGGUACCGGAAGAAUAAGCACCGGCUAACUUCGUGCCAGCAGCCGCGGUAAUACGAAGGGUGCAAGCGUUACUCGGAAUUACUGGGCGUAAAGCGUGCGUAGGUGGUUGUUUAAGUCUGAUGUGAAAGCCCUGGGCUCAACCUGGGAAUGGCAUUGGAAACUGGGCAGCUAGAGUGCGGUAGAGGGUAGUGGAAUUCCCGGUGUAGCAGUGAAAUGCGUAGAGAUCGGGAGGAACACCAGUGGCGAAGGCGGCCAUCUGGACCAGUACUGACGCUGAGGCACGAAAGCGUGGGGAGCAAACA